CCAUCGGUGGUUCAGUGGUAGAAUGCUCGCCUGCUACGCGGGCGGCCCGGGUUCGAUACUCGGCCGAUGCA
rnacentral:tRNA from 1 species